rnacentral:lncRNA from 1 species
GCCUCUGGGACGGAGCAAAACUCCUCUGCCACUCUCCUCUACCUACCAGCUGGGCACUACGGCUCCCCGGCUGCACAGGAGCCACUGCCAGACGGAACAAAAUCAGGCUUUGGGGAGCUUCCUGCCACGUCAAGAGUGGCCACCAGCCUCCAAAGCAGGAAUGUGGUCAAGGCCAGGAAAGAGGGUGAUCUGCCAUCCCGGGGGCCCUGCUCGCAGGCCCCAGAGGAACACCUGAGCCCCAUCUCCCGACUCCCUCAUGCCCCGGUAGAGGUCAGCCGAAUGUCCUUCCUGCAACCAGAGAGGCCACACCAGGACCAGAGUCACUGCCUUCAGGGGGCUCAGUCCCAGAGCCCGCUACAGUGUGCACCUGCCGAUUGUUCCCUGCGCACCCUCCCGCCAUGCGCGCAGCUCAACGAACAGUCAUGCCGAUCGUCCUGCCCCGUGAGAAUGUCUCUGGGCCAUUUACAUAGGAGCCACACUGCCCGGCCCCAAGGUGGCACAGCAGGAGUCUGCAGCUGCAGUGCCCUGUUGCCUCCAGAAUGGCUGCAGCGUCGACACCCCAUCAACCAUCACGGACGUUCCUGCAGCCAACGUGCACCCCAGCGUUUGACUCAACCGGCUUUGUAAAUGCUUCCCAGUCUGAGAGAUGUAAAGCAGAAUCUAAUUUUUGUUUAUAUGACUGCUAAUGACUUUGAGUGUCUCUUUUCGGGCUUAUUAACUCAUUGGGUUUCCUCUCCAUCAGUUGUCCAUAUGCCUCGCCCAUUUUUCCAUUGGGGUUGCCGUCCUCCACUUUUUGAUUCACAGGAAAUUUGCAGAAUUUCCUUGUAAAUUCUAGGUCUUAAUCCCUUGCUAGCUUUUAACAUUGCAAAUAUCUCUUCUCCUUUGUUCAGCUGUGUAUCAACUUUGUCCCUGUUGUCUUUCAUUGAACAAAAAUCUUUAACCCUGAUGUAAUGAAAUGUAUCGAUUUGCUGCCUUAUGGUUUGUGGUUUUGAAUUUUUAUUUAAGGUAUCUCUGUGCCUACACGACAAAAAUUUUCUCCCACAUUUUUUUAAGUUUUGCUUCUCCUUUUAGGUCUUUAAUCUACCUAGAAUCUAGCUAUGAACAUGGCGUCAGGCAAGGAUUCAGUGUCGAGUUUUGGGUUUUUUAUAUCUUACUACAAAUAGGUGCUGAGCCUUAUCAAAUGCCCCCUCUGUGCAUUGACUUAGAUGCAGAUAUGACAGUUUUCCUUUAACCUAUUACUGCAGUGAAUUACAAAAAGAGAUUCUCAGAUGUCCCCGGAUAAACCCUACUUCAUCAUGGGUCAUUUUUCUUAAUUACUACUUGAUGCAGUUAACUAAUAUUUUACUUAGGAUUUCUGCAACUUUGUUACAAAUAAAAUGGGCCUAUAAUUUUUCUUUACUCUUGUC